GAUGAACGCUGGCGGCGUGCCUAAUACAUGCAAGUCGAGCGGACGGACGAGAAGCUUGCUUCUCUGAUGUUAGCGGCGGACGGGUGAGUAACACGUGGAUAACCUACCUAUAAGACUGGGAUAACUUCGGGAAACCGGAGCUAAUACCGGAUAAUAUUUUGAACCGCAUGGUUCAAAAGUGAAAGACGGUCUUGCUGUCACUUAUAGAUGGAUCCGCGCUGCAUUAGCUAGUUGGUAAGGUAACGGCUUACCAAGGCAACGAUGCAUAGCCGACCUGAGAGGGUGAUCGGCCACACUGGAACUGAGACACGGUCCAGACUCCUACGGGAGGCAGCAGUAGGGAAUCUUCCGCAAUGGGCGAAAGCCUGACGGAGCAACGCCGCGUGAGUGAUGAAGGUCUUCGGAUCGUAAAACUCUGUUAUUAGGGAAGAACAUAUGUGUAAGUAACUGUGCGCAUCUUGACGGUACCUAAUCAGAAAGCCACGGCUAACUACGUG
rnacentral:rRNA from 1 species